UACGGGGGGGGUAAGCGUUGUUCGGAAUUACUGGGCGUAAAGGGCUCGUAGGCGGCCAACUAAGUCAGACGUGAAAUCCCUCAGCUUAACUGGGGAACUGCGUCUGAUACUGGAUGGCUUGGAUUCGGGAGAGGAGAGUGGAAUUCCUGGUGUAGCGGUGAAAUGCGCAGAUAUCAGGAAGAACACCCGUGGCGAAAGCGGCUCUCUGGAACGGUACUGACGCUGAGACGCGAAAGCGUGGGGAGCGAACAGG
rnacentral:rRNA from 1 species